AUUGAACGCUGGCGGCAGGCCUAACACAUGCAAGUCGAACGAGUGGCGGACGGGUGAGUAAUGUAUGGGAAACUGCCUGAUGGAGGGGGAUAACUACUGGAAACGGUAGCUAAUACCGCAUCCCAUCAGAUGUGCCCAGAUGGGAUUAGCUAGUUGGUGGGGUAACGGCUCACCAAGGCGCCGCUCCCUAUCUGGUCUGAGAGGAUGACCAGCCAAACUGGAACUGAGACACGGUCCAGAGUCCUACGGGAGGCAGCAGUGGGGAAUAUUGCACAAGGGGCGCAAGCCUGAUGCAGCCAUGCCGCGGGUAUGAAGAAGGCCUUCGGGUUGUAAAGGACUUUCAGCGGGGAGGCGUUACCCGCAGAAGAAGCACCGGCUAACUCCGUGCCAGCAGCCGCGGUAAUUC
rnacentral:rRNA from 1 species